GACGAACGCUGGCGGCGUGCCUAAUACAUGCAAGUUGAGCGCUGAAGGUUGGUACUUGUACCGACCGGAUGAGCAGCGAACGGGUGAGUAACGCGUGGGGAAUCUGCCUUUGAGCGGGGGACAACAUUUGGAAACGAAUGCUAAUACCGCAUAAAAACUUUAAACACAAGUUUUAAGUUUGAAAGAUGCAAUUGCAUCACUCAAAGAUGAUCCCGCGUUGUAUUAGCUAGUUGGUGAGGUAAAGGCUCACCAAGGCGAUGAUACAUAGCCGACCUGAGAGGGUGAUCGGCCACAUUGGGACUGAGACACGGCCCAAACUCCUACGGGAGGCAGCAGUAGGGAAUCGUCGGCAAUGGACGAAAGUCUGACCGAGCAACGCCGCGUGAGCGAAGAAGGUUUUCGGAUCGUAAAACUCUGUUGGUAGAGAAGAACGUUGGUGAGAGUGGAAAGCUCAUCAAGUGACGGUAACUACCCAGAAAGGGACGGCUAACUACGUG
rnacentral:rRNA from 1 species